rnacentral:lncRNA from 1 species
UUGCUCUGAAUCUCAGGAUGGUUCACUAGCUCCGCAAUUCCCCAUUCAAUAGACCAUAGUGUUGUCUCAAUAGCUGUUUCGGCACAUAUUACCCAAGAAAUCAGCAUCAUAAAACUGUAUAAAUGUCCAUUAAGAUUCAAGUUUUUUUCAGGGGAGACAAGUGACAAUGCAAUUUGCGUACCCUACAAGGCUACAAGGAUAAUAAAAAGGAAAAGAUAAAAAUUUUCUUUUGAUUUUUUAAGUUGUAAGUAAUUUUGGAUUUUAGAAUUUUUUUUGAUAACACAAACAUGUCCUCAAACCGAAGGAGACCGCAAAGAUUCGAACUAGAUCCGAACUCAACCCAAUUAUAUAUAUAUAUUAUGAUAUACUUAGGGCAUCCGCAGUAGGAGUACCUCAAAAAGUAAUUUUCCAUAAAAUUAAUAUAAAAGACUAAAAAAAAAAGGAGAGACACAUAUUUGGUGAGAAUCUAUUUUUUACCAAGGUACUCAAGAAACAAUGAUGAUUAAGUUUUUAACAUAUCGCAAUGUUUUAGUGGUGUAAAUUAAAAAAAAAACAAAAAUUAUAAUUUUAUUGGUGUAAAAUUAAAAAACAAAAAUUAUAAUUUUAUAAUUAAUUACUACUAAUUAAUUAUUUUCUAAGAAACCGAUUCACAUUCAACCACUGCUGGUGCUAAACUUCUUCCCAAAAAAUCCAAAAUCCAAACCGAACCGUAUCCGAAUAGGUAUCCGAACUCCUGACUACACUGAACCUGUGAAAGUGCAUAAAGGGUAAGGAAGUUAACCAGCUACGUUGAUGUUCUCGACGAUAUAAAGAACGUUGUCCGCAUUGAUUUCUCCCUUCUCUUCAGCUUCAAGGAUGUGAUCAAUGGCGUAUUUCACGCUUCCCGUAGGCUUAGCACUCGGAAUCUCCCUGUUUGGUUUCCUCAAAUGUCAAUUUCAAGAUCCCAAAAUAGAAAUACAUAAUCUAAAGAGACCACAAACUCACUUCCUCUCGUCUACGAAGUACUUCUUGAAGAGCGCUAGUCUUCUCUCUUUCACAUCUUGGCAGAUCUUCAAAUAGCCUCUAAGGAACGGCCUAAGGAUAGGAAUGAAAUCUCCAUAGUUAUACUCAAAGCUCUGAGUCAACCUGCUUCUCUCCCCGUUCAAGAACUUGAGCCGGAGGAGAAGAGGAUCAUCUUCACUCUCGAACCUUUUACCGAACAUAACACGGAACAUGUUGUUGUACAUCAUCAACUGCAAACGCUUCCUCACCACGAUCCCUUUCGUGGCCGCGUCAGGGUUCUUCUUCACUUCCUCCACAACGCUCGCAGCUUCGAACUCCCAUCCUUCCCGGUUCUGCUGGACCACCUUGUUGGUGAAGAAGGGAACCGUCAUGAUACGUCUCAUCUUCCUCCAGUGCUCACCGUAGACAGUGAACACCAUGUCUUGUCCUUUCCCAGUGAAGAUGUCGUAGACGAUGUUUCUGUAUCUGGAUCCAAACUCUACACCUUGUGUUUGGAGCACUUCCUUGGCUAGAUCCGGUGAAGAGAUGAUGACUAUGUCUCGUUGACCCAUCCUUAGGUGGAAAAGGUCUCCGAACUUCUUAGCGUAGUCCACGAGGUUACGGUGAUUUAGAUCAUUUCCGACUUCAAGCCAGUUUCCGAAGACCGGGAUUGGUAUAGGACCAGGAGGUAGCUUCAGUUUCUUGCUGCAGAGCUUGGAGAUCAUUUUGGCGAGAACCACCGCCAAGAAGACGGCGAUUAGAGGUUUCUCCAACAAGAGAAGGUCCAUUAUACUUCACUCUCAGUAGAUAAUGAAAGCAGAAGAAGCUGAUGCUUUGCUGAGGAGCAAAUGUUAAAUGGGAGGCUGUGUAUGUGAGGCUUAACAAAGAUGGAUAUGUUUGGUCAAAGAGAGUUAUUAUUUAUUUAAUCUAGGUAACUCAAGUUCGCUUUGUCCUUUCUAAUUUUUUUAAUGUAAUUAAGAAACGUUUAAUGUAAUAUUUCCAAUGGUUAAACGACUAAUAUAAUGUUAUUUUCUCCAUUUCUUUCACGUUUGAAAAUGAGUUCAAGAAUGUUAGUUAAAGCUAGAAAAAACCUCCAAAUUAAAUAAAUUUUUGUUCAACAAUCAUGUGGGUUUGAAAGUAUACAACAACAAUAUCUAUCCAAAACAGUGGGAACCACUAUUGGCUUAUUGCAACCCUUUAAAGACAUUUUACAUAUAUAACACAUCCAAUAGAUUUCACAAACAUCAUUAUCAUCCAUAACAAAAAAGUCAUUUUGCAGAAACUACUUUUAUUUUAUUUUUUGUGUAUAAAUUAUUUAAAAGGACCUUGGCUUCAUUACAAUUGUGGAGUGGUUAAGGAUGUGCAAGCUGAACUGUCCACCUUUCUCAGAAGUAUCAACUUUAGACUGUCCUGGAGGAGGAAGUAGCUCGAAGUUCUGUACCAACCUACCGAUAGUGAUUCCCAAAAUGGGCAACGCCAAUAUAAUCCCAGGACAGCUUCUACGUCCAACACCAAACGGCACAUACCUAAAGUCAUUACCAUUGGCUUCCACAUGCGCCUCUUCUUCAAAGAACCUCUCGGGUCUAAACUCUUCAGGUUUCUUCCAGCUCUCAGGGUUGUUCGCUAGCCACCAGGCAUUGACCAAGAUCUUGCUUUCCGCUGGGAUGUCGUAGCCAGCGAGCUUAGCGUCGUUGAGGUUCAUGUGUGGCACAAGGAGAGGAAUAGCCAUUCUUAGUCUAAGCGUCUCCUUGAUCACGGCUUGGAGGUAGGGAAGCUUGUGCAGCUCAGGCUCUGUGAUUUGAACGCCUGGUCCAAGAACCGUGUCGAUUUCGUUCCUUAGCUUGCUCUGGAUCUCAGGAUGGUUCACUAGCUCCGCUAUUCCCCACUCGAUA